rnacentral:lncRNA from 1 species
ACGCAAAACGAGUUCAAGACUGACAUAUUUACAACUUUUGGGCGCCAGCCCGUUACAGCUAACUUGAUGAGGGGUCGGCAGGAGGGACGACUUCAUCUUCCAGGAGCUUCGCAAGGGCCUCCGCCGGCGCGGUCCCUGCCGCGUCGAUCCCGUCCAGCUCAGCUUCGGUGUAGCCGGCGGCGUACCCUUCGCUCAUCCCAGCAAAGUUGAUGCCGAAAUAAUGGGAGCCGAAGACCC